GGGGGUUUGAAUGUAGCUGGGUAGUUUUAAGUGGAUGGAGGAAAUGGUGACUGGCACAUAUUCUUCAGCAGACAAUAGCUGGAUCCUUUAGACCACUUCCCAGGAGGUCUAAAUUGCUGUUGGCAGUAGGAGCCUGUGAUUGAAGGCUACUCAACCAGAUAUGCGACAGAUAAGAAAAAUCAGUGGUCCUGGGAGAGGAAGAGAGGAAGGAAGGGGAAGCAGAAGGGGAUGCAUGGGAUCAGGUGACACGCUGGGCAACCAUACCCAAGGACCAGCCAGUCUCUCCUGUGUCCCUCCUCAGGUGUCCCUCUGCUCUCCUGUUUCAACCAAUCCCAGAUCCCCAUCUGCCGGCCGGCAGGAUCACUCUGGCCGUCUGGAUUAUUCAGAAACGGCUAAACGCUCUUUGUAUCAAGCUGACUGGGACAAAACUAGCUGCAGGCCCACUAAGCCACAGGAGCUCAGCUGCAAGCCCACAGCCAUACCAUGGAGAUGCUGUUUUAGCUCUACUGUACAUUGGAGAAACCAAGGAAAUGCUUAUUUGAACACUGUACAGCUAUGCAUCAGCGACACUGACACUGAGCGCACACAUCAAGGGGUUUCACUGUGCA
ensembl:lncRNA